rnacentral:rRNA from 1 species
UACGAAGGGGGCUAGCGUUGUUCGGAAUUACUGGGCGUAAAGCGUGCGCAGGCGGCUUCUCAAGUCAGGGGUGAAAGCCCAGAGCUCAACUCUGGAAUUGCCUUUGAGACUGAGUGGCUUGAGUCCGGAAGAGGCGAGUGGAAUUCCUGGUGUAGCGGUGAAAUGCGCAGAUAUCAGGAGGAACACCGGUGGCGAAGGCGGCAUCCUGGACCAACACUGACGCUGAGGAGCGAAAGCCAGGGGAGCAAACGGG